rnacentral:rRNA from 1 species
UACGUAGGUGGCGAGCGUUGUCCGGAUUUACUGGGCGUAAAGAGCGCGCAGGCGGUCGUACAAGUCGCGUGUGAAAGCCCCUGGCUCAACUGGGGAGGGUCACGCGAUACUGUUCGACUUGAAGGCAGGAGAGGGAAGUGGAAUUCCCGGUGUAGUGGUGAAAUGCGUAGAUAUCGGGAGGAACACCAGUGGCGAAGGCGACUUCCUGGCCUGUUCUUGACGCUGAGGUGCGAAAGCGUGGGGAACAAACAGG